GGUUCCAUAGUGUAGUGGUUAGCACAUCUGCUUUACAUGCAGAAGGUCCUGGGUUCGCGCCCCAGUGGAGCCA
rnacentral:tRNA from 1 species